GAUGAACGCUGGCGGCGUGCCUAAUACAUGCAAGUCGAGCGAACAGAUGAGGAGCUUGCUCCUCUGACGUUAGCGGCGGACGGGUGAGUAACACGUGGAUAACCUACCUAUAAGACUGGGAUAACUUCGGGAAACCGGAGCUAAUACCGGAUAAUAUAUUGAACCGCAUGGUUCAAUAGUGAAAGACGGUUUUGCUGUCACUUGUAGAUGGAUCCGCGCCGCAUUAGCUAGUUGGUAAGGUAACGGCUUACCAAGGCAACGAUGCGUAGCCGACCUGAGAGGGUGAUCGGCCACACUGGGACUGAGACACGGUCCAGACUCCUACGGGAGGCAGCAGUAGGGAAUCUUCCGCAAUGGGCGAAAGCCUGACGGAGCAACGCCGCGUGAGUGAUGAAGGUCUUCGGAUCGUAAAACUCUGUUAUUAGGGAAGAACAAAUGUGUAAGUAACUAUGCACGUCUUGACGGUACCUAAUCAGAAAGCCACGGCUAACUACGUG
rnacentral:rRNA from 1 species